AUUUAUAUAGUUUAAUAAAAACAUUAUAUUUUCAAUAUAAAAAUAAAAAUAAUUUUUAUAAAUA
rnacentral:tRNA from 2 species